rnacentral:lncRNA from 1 species
GUCCCCACUGUCUCUCCUGGACUGUGUUGAUUCUUAACCAUAUGCCUCUGUCCCCACAGCUCUGCAUAUCUGGAAUGCCCACUUCUCCACCUGUCCAGUCAUAUAUUUAAUUCAGACUCUUGGCUUCCAUCAUGAAACGUUCCUCAAAUUCUCUGAGCCCUUGCCUCCCCAACAUGAACUCUCUUCACAGUUAGAAAAGAAAUAAAAAACAAACUCCAGAACUUUCAAACAUAAGAGGAAUGUAAGUUUCCAGAUUCAAGAAUACACCGAAUGCCCAGCAAGAUGGAUUGGGGGAAACCUACAUUAAAGAACAACACCGUGAUUUAUGAAAACACCAAGCUUAAAGAAGAAAUCCUAAAAAGUUUCUAGAGAAAGGAAACAAAAGAUCAGAAAUGAGCAUGGCUUUAGAUUUCUCAACAGCAACCUUGAGAAUUAGGUGACAAUGGUGUAUGCCUUCAAAGUUCUAAGGAAAAUGAUUUCCACCCAGAAUUCUAUGCCUUCAAGGCCUCCAGCAUGGUACCAUACAGAUGAGAACUUAAUGAAGAAGGAUGCUUCUGAGUAAGAUUUAGUCAUCUCCUUGAAGAUACUUUUCUCCUUUGGAAAAGGAAGAAUCAAACUUUCCUGAACUUCUCAGGGAGAACAUGGUGGUUGACUUUGUUUCUUCUGUCAAAGGACAUCAUUAUAGUACCAAGGUGACAUCGAGGAGGUUUUAACUCUCCCAAAAAGUUGCACCAGAGGAUUUGGGGAGGUGUAGGAUGUGACAGCCAGCCCAGAAGCAGGGCUAGUAAUUAUAAAAUGGGUGACGAUGGAAAAAUUGCUCUCUUCUUCGGGGUUACUUGCCCAUCAAAGAACAGCAAGGACUGGGCAUGUGAAAUGCCAAUGGUUUGGCUAAUCAACACGCCACAGCUUAGCUGGAGUCACUGUACUUGAAUGUGGUUUUGUUUUUAAUGCUGUGUUCUUGUGGGCAUGGAAAGAGUUACAGCCAACUGCCCCAGGUAUGGUAACUAGAGGCGGUGGUGGAAAUGUAAAUGUAAGGACCCUUUGUCUUCUCCCCUCCAGUAGUAAAGGGGACGAAAGAGAGUGGAGAAGGAUUGCACUCUUCUGGUGGACUUUCUCCUGUGAUGCACAGAAAUGCACGGAUAACGUUAAAAAUAUUUUAAAUUGUAUUUAUUUAUAUAUUUUAGAGAUGGGGUCUUGCUAUGUUGCCCAGGCUGGUCUCAAACUCCUGACCUCAAGUGAUCCUCUUGCCUUGGCUUCCGUGGUACCUACCUGUAAUCCAAGCUAUGAUCGCUUGAACCCAGGCAUUUGAGAUGAGACUGGGCAACACAGUGAGACCCCCAUCUCUAAAAAAGUAUCGUCUUGUUUUGUGUGACCUGGCCAUCAACACAUAUUUACAAAAAAGAGAUAUCUCUCUUUUAUUAUCAUAAAGCAUAGACUGAAUUUUAGAUAGGUUUUGAAUCUCUCUGUGCCUGAAUUUCUCUCAAAAUUAAUAGUGCCUCAUAUUUGAUAAAGCACUAAGUUUUCUUUUGAAAGGUGCACAGAAAACUCUGCAUUGCCUAAAUUAUAAUUUUCUCAACUAUUUGACCCAACCUAUCACUGUUGUAGUAUUCUUUAACAGAGCAUUCUGUUACCAUGAGUAAGGGAGUUGCUGCUUUUUUUUUUUUUUAAAUCAAUCAAGAACUACAGAUAAGUACUUUUAAAAUCAGACCAUGACUGGGGAAAGCAGGAGUCAACGAGUCAGUUUGAGUCUGUUAUCAGCUCUGCCUGAGACUGGCCUUUUAUAUCACUCUGAGGAGUAAUGCUGUUUGUUUUCAGCAUGAAAUACAUAAGAGAAAAAAUUAAGUAGGGAACAGGAGAAUAAUAUUUGGAUAGGGUAGUUUUAUUAUUUUGUCUGACACAUUAUGUCCCCUAGCCCUCAGUAUAUCCAGGGAUCAUCUAUGCUUAAAGUUAAAUACAAGAUAACUUCCCAAGCCAAGUACAAGUGAUUUUAAAAAAUAAUAAAAUGCCUUAUAGGAUUACCUACUACAGUUCUUAAGUUGCCCAGGAAACAUCACAUCACUGCAUGCAGUGUCAGAGACAUCGGUAAAUCCUCCGCCAACAAGUAUUUUGAAUAUAGCAGAAAAACACAGAUGUUUUAGACCUUCUGAGAUGCAUUAAGUUCUGGAAACUGGAAGCCAUAAAAGACAAAAUCGUGGGAGGGGAAUUGCUGGGAGCACCCUGGGAAAGCAGCCACCCUGGAGUUGAGUGACCUCUCUUUGAUCUCUAGCUUUCCCAAGUCACUUUCCCAUGCAUUUCCUCAACACUGGUUUCAGUUCUUUAGAUCUAAUAAAAGCCUUUGGGGUUGGGAGCAUCACUGAGUAGAGUGCUGAUUCAGGCCAAGCUUGGAGGGAGGAGUGGAGCAUUCAAUGUGUUUACAGUAAAGUGUGUGUGUGUGUGUGUGUGUGUGUGUGUGUGUGCGCGCUUAUGAGUAAUAGCAACUUCUCACCACUGUCACAGCCACCAAUGGGAGAUUUAGCUUCCUCCAAGUCACCUCAAUUAAACAUACGCUCUAAAUAAAGCAGCAUGCUUGCUGGAGACAGAGCUUCAAAAAGUCCCCUAGAUCUCUUUCUCCUUCCAAACAUUUUGCUGCCCUGAAGCAUGUCAUAUAUAGAAAUGUUAUAGUUGCCUCUUUGUUCAUUCAUUCUUUCAAGGAUCUCCACAUUAUAUUGUUUGAUAAGAAGUGGAAUUAAUACUUUACACAAAUGCUUGCAUUUCCGUGCUAUUCCUUUCACUUCCUGAU